rnacentral:rRNA from 1 species
UAGGGAAUCUUCCGCAAUGGACGCAAGUCUGACGGAGCAACGCCGCGUGAGUGAAGAAGGAUUUCGGUUCGUAAAACUCUGUUGUUAGAGAAGAACAGCGAAUAGAGUAACUGUUAUGCGUGUGACGGUAUCUAACCAGAAAGCCACGGCUAACUACGUGCCAGCAGCCGCGGUAAUACGUAGGUGGCAAGCGUUGUCCGGAUUUAUUGGGCGUAAAGCGAGCGCAGGCGGUCAAUUAAGUCUGAUGUGAAAGCCCCCGGCUCAACCGGGGAGGGUCAUUGGAAACUGGUUGACUUGAGUGCAGAAGAGGAGAGUGGAAUUCCAUGUGUAGCGGUGAAAUGCGUAGAUAUAUGGAGGAACACCAGUGGCGAAGGCGACUCUCUGGUCUGUAACUGACGCUGAGGCUCGAAAGCGUGGGGAGCGAACAGG